rnacentral:sRNA from 1 species
GACGUGGGCGGUCCGCUGCCCGCGACGUUGUGAGAAGUCCACUGAACCUUAUCAUUUAGAGGAAGGAGAAGUCGUAACAAGGUUUCCGUAGGUGAACCUGCGGAAGGAUCAUUGUCGAUGCCUCACACAACAAGUUCGACCGGCGAACCCGUUCAUCACGCGUGCCGGGGCCAGCCCGGGGGCGCCGUUCCUUGCCGAACAACGACCCCGUCCUCCCCGGCCCGACCCGGCGGGAGGCAAAACCUCUCGCCAAAACACAAACCCCGGCGCCACGUGCGCCAAGGAACUCGAAACCGUUAAGCGCAACCUCCGCGGGCCCGGAGACGGCGACCCCGCGGACCUUGCCACGACACAAAACAUACAAAACGACUCUCGGCAACGGAUAUCUCGGCUCUUGCAUCGAUGAAGAACGUAGCGAAAUGCGAUACUUGGUGUGAAUUGCAGAAUCCCGUGAACCAUCGAGUCUUUGAACGCAAGUUGCGCCCGAAGCCAUUAGGCCGAGGGCACGCCUGCCUGGGUGUCACACAUCGUCACCCAAAAGCAAACGCCUCGAGCGCGCGCAGCAGGGUGGACGCUGGCCUCCCGCGAGCACCGUCUCGUGGCUGGUUGAAAACCGAGCCCGCGGCCGAGCCCGCCGCGACAAAAUGGUGGAUGAGCAACGCUCGAGACCAGUCGCGCGGCCCGGCCGACGCCGGACUCCCCGAACCCACACGCGUCCAGCACGGACGCCCGCAGCGAGACCUCAGGUCAGGCGGGGCCACCCGCUGAGUUUAAGCAUAUCAAUAAGCGGAGGAAAAGAAACUAAC